rnacentral:rRNA from 1 species
UGGGGAAUUUUGGACAAUGGGCGAAAGCCUGAUCCAGCAAUGCCGCGUGAGUGAAGAAGGCCUUCGGGUUGUAAAGCUCUUUUGUCAGGGAAGAAACGGUGAGGGCUAAUAUCCCUUGCUAAUGACGGUACCUGAAGAAUAAGCACCGGCUAACUACGUGCCAGCAGCCGCGGUAAUACGUAGGGUGCAAGCGUUAAUCGGAAUUACUGGGCGUAAAGCGUGCGCAGGCGGUAUUGUAAGUCUGAUGUGAAAUCCCCGGGCUCAACCUGGGAAUUGCAUUGGAGACUGCAAGGCUAGAAUCUGGCAGAGGGGGGUAGAAUUCCACGUGUAGCAGUGAAAUGCGUAGAUAUGUGGAGGAACACCGAUGGCGAAGGCAGCCCCCUGGGUCAAGAUUGACGCUCAUGCACGAAAGCGUGGGGAGCAAACA